rnacentral:rRNA from 1 species
CUACGGGGGCUGCAGUGGGGAAUAUUGCACAAUGGAGGAAACUCUGAUGCAGCAACGCCGCGUGGAGGAUGACACUUUUCGGAGCGUAAACUCCUUUUAUAUAGGAAGAAGAUGACGGUACUAUAUGAAUAAGCGCCGGCUAACUCCGUGCCAGCAGCCGCGGUAAUACGGAGGGCGCAAGCGUUACUCGGAAUCACUGGGCGUAAAGAGCGGUGAGGCGGAUUAAAAAGUCAGAAGUGAAAUCCUAUAGCUUAACUAUAGAACUGCUUCUGAAACUCUUAAUCUAGAAUAUGGGAGAGGUAGAUGGAAUUUCUGGUGUAGGGGUAACAUCCGUAGAGAUCAGAAGGAAUACCGAUUGCGAAGGCGAUCUACUAGAACAUUAUUGACGCUGAGGCGCGAAAGCGUGGGGAGCAAACAGGAUUAGAUACCCUAGUAGUC